CGGGGUGAGUAACACGUGAGCAACCUGCCUUUCAGAGGGGGAUAACAGCCGGAAACGGCUGCUAAUACCGCAUGAUGUUGCGGGGGCACAUGCCCCUGCAACCAAAGGAGCAAUCCGCUAAAAGAUGGGCUCGCGUCCGAUUAGCCAGUUGGCGGGGUAACGGCCCACCAAAGCGACGAUCGGUAGCCGGACUGAGAGGUUGAACGGCCACAUUGGGACUGAGACACGGCCCAG
rnacentral:rRNA from 1 species